GGCGGCGCGUCUGACACUCAAGCUUGAACUUGGAGGUGCAAGGAGCUGAGCAACUGAGUACAAACUCGGAAAAUGUGUGACGCGCGGACGCCGACGACGAUGGCAGGGCUUACAGCCCUGUCAGCAUUUCCCAACUGUGCAAGGAAAUGAGGACUCAGCAACAGAAGCACACCUGCCGCCCCUCAUCGCGGAGAAGACGCAAUAACCUAAGGGUUCCAGGUCUAUUCUGUCUGCCACAGACAAAUGGUACCGUUCACACACCGGCCACACACUCUGUCUACGUGCUCGCCUCUAACGGGAAGGGAUCUCAUCUCAUGAUGCUGGACUUCAUCUUCAAAGCAAGGGGGCUUACAGUAAGCCCGAAUGAUUUCUACCCAUCCCUGAGGACUCCUGCCCCACCAAGCCAUCA
ensembl:lincRNA Gm42495 predicted gene 42495